UUACACAUGCAAGUCGAACGGCAGCACGGGGCAACCUGGUGGCGAGUGGCGAACGGGUGAGUAAAGCAUCGGAACGUACCCUAGAGUGGGGGAUAACUAUCCGAAAGGAUAGCUAAUACCGCAUAUUCUAUGAGUAGGAAAGCGGGGGAUCUUCGGACCUCGCGCUCUAGGAGCGGCCGAUGUCAGAUUAGGUAGUUGGUGGGGUAAAGGCCUACCAAGCCGACGAUCUGUAGCGGGUCUGAGAGGAUGAUCCGCCACACUGGGACUGAGACACGGCCCAAAAUCCUACGGGAAGCAGCAAUGGGGAAUAUUGGGCCAUGGGCCAAAGACCUGUGACCCCACCCGCGCCCGUGUGGGGGAAGAGUGUCUGCAGAUUGUACCUCUAUGUCCUAUGGGACGAAGAAGUGACGGUACCAUAGGAGGAAGCUCCGGCUAACUACGUGCCAGCAGCCGCGGUAAUACGUAGGGAGCAAGCGUUGUCCGGAAUUACUGGGCGUAAAGGGUGCGUAGGUGGCUAUUUAAGUCAGGUGUGAAAGACCGGGGCUCAACUCCGGGGUUGCACUUGAAACUGGGUGGCUUGAGUACAGGAGAGGGAAGUGGAAUUCCUAGUGUAGCGGUGAAAUGCGUAGAUAUUAGGAGGAACACCAGUGGCGAAGGCGACUUUCUGGACUGUAACUGACACUGAGGCACGAAAGCGUGGGGAGCAAACAGGAUUAGAUACCCUGGUAGUCCACGCCGUAAACGAUGGAUACUAGGUGUGGGGCCCGAUAGGGUUCCGUGCCGAAGCAAACGCAUUAAGUAUCCCGCCUGGGGAGUACGAUCGCAAGGUUGAAACUCAAAGGAAUUGACGGGGGCCCGCACAAGCAGCGGAGCAUGUGGUUUAAUUCGACGCAACGCGAAGAACCUUACCAGGUCUUGACAUCCAGUUAAAGCUGUUGAAAGAUAGUGUCCCUUCGGGGGAACUGAGACAGGUGGUGCAUGGUUGUCGUCAGCUCGUGUCGUGAGAUGUUGGGUUAAGUCCCGCAACGAGCGCAACCCUUAUUGAUAGUUACUAACGCGUAGAGGCGAGGACUCUAUUGAGACUGCCGGGGACAACUCGGAGGAAGGUGGGGACGACGUCAAAUCAUCAUGCCCCUUAUGACCUGGGCUACACACGUGCUACAAUGGCCGACACAGAGAGAAGCGAAAGCGCGAGCCGGAGCGGAUCUCAAAAAAGCGGUCGAAGUUCGGAUUGUGGGCUGCAACCCGCCCACAUGAAGUCGGAGUUGCUAGUAAUCGCGGAUCAGCAUGCCGCGGUUGAAUACGUUCCCGGGCCUUGUACACACCGCCCGUCACACCAUGGGAGUUGGUAGCACCCGAAGGCAG
rnacentral:rRNA from 1 species